GGGGCCGCAGGGCAGGGGGCAGUGGGGCACUCGACUCGUGCGCAGGGGGUUUUUAUCCGCGAGCUUCUCCCCCUGACUCCGGCCGCCCGGCCGCCGCAGGCAUCGUGUCGUGCUGAUACGAACGCCUCCCGACCCCGGCGGAUUCGACUCUGUUCUAGCCUCCGAGGUCUGUGCUACUCGAUCUCCCCCCGAUCCCCAACAAGCUCCAUCAGCCACCGCUUCCGUCAGCGGCGCCCCAGCCGGCCGCCCUGCGCUCCGUCGCCGAUCCGCCGCGCCACGGGCCGAUUCGCGGUCCGUCCGUCCAUCGAGCGCCGCCGGAUAGGCAAUCGCGGCCCUGCGACGCCCUCAUGGACGCCAGAUCGGUCCCGGGGCCUCCACAGCGGCCGACCCCGUCGGCGCCCCUCCCCGCCGGUUGCUCCUGCCUGCCCAAGACCUCGUCGACGAGCCUGACCAAGUCCUUCACGGCGGUGCACGACUUCAGGGUGAGCGACUACUCGCUGUUGGAGGGCAUGGGGUUCGGCAGGUACGUCACCUCCAGCACCUUCUCCGUCGGUGGCCACGACUGGGCCGUCCGGUUCUACCCGGACGGCGCCACGGCGGGCUUGCUCGGCGACGUCUCGGCCUUCCUGUACUACUACAGCCGGGACCUGGACGCGCCGGGCGUCAGGACCCGGUUCACCCUCAAUCUGCUCGAGAGGGACGGGAAGAUGCCCCAGGUCACCAACCCCUACAUGAAGCACACCUUCUCUCCGGUCAGCGACAACUGGGGCUUCACCAAGUUCAUGGAGAAGUCCAGGCUGCAGCAGGGCUCGCCGUACCUCGACAGGGACUGCCUCACGAUCAGGUGCGUGCUGACAGUCGUUAUCGAGUCCCGCACCAUGGCGAACGAGACGAACUCUAUCGCCGUCCCGCCAUCGAGCCUGCACCAGGACUUUGGGGAGAUGCUUAGCGAUGGCGAAGGGGCAGAUGUCACAUUCACUGUGGACGGCCAGUUGUUCCGUGCCCACCGAUGUGUCCUGGCUUUCCGCUCUCCGGUGUUUAGAGCGGAGCUCUUUGGUCCAAUGAAGGAAAAAGCUGAAAAUCGCAUUAGGAUCGAUGACAUGGAGCCAGCAAUCUUCGAGGCUCUGCUUCAGUUCAUCUACACAGAUCGUCUGCCUGAUAGCUGUAGUGAUGGCCGGAAUCCGGCGAUCACACACUUGCUGGUUGCCGCGGACCGGUAUGGAGUGGAGAGGCUAAGGUUGCUAUGUGAAAGUAAGCUCAGCGAAGCCAUUGAUGUGGAAACAGUGGCGACAACGCUAGCUUUAGCAGAGCAGCACAACUGCUCGCAGCUGCGACGAGCCUGCAUUGGGUUCAUGGCCUCGCCGAACAUGCUUGGCCCAAUCAUGGAAACUGAUGGAUUCAAUCAUCUCAUUGCAAGCUGUCCGUUGGUUAUGAAGGAAAUUCUAGACAAGGUGUCCUGCAUCUGGAGUGCUAGAAGGCCAUCGCCGACAUACCCAAGGGCCUGCCCGCCAUCAUCACUACGUGCCUCACGUGGGACCAGGAAGAUGGCUGCUGGUGAUUCUUCAAGGUGGACGGUACAACGUAUGAUCCCUGGGAUGGGAAAUUCACGAUUGCCCUGCUGGGAGCAUUGAUGCCAAUGUCACAUUCUUCGCAUCAGUAUGUUGCCACUGGAAUGGCGACAUAGGCAGCUUUAAAGGUAAAGGCUCUUUUGGCUGAUUCGGAACAAAGUGAACUUUUGAGAAGACUCAGCGAAGCAAAUCAAUAUAACCAAUUCCUCAAGAGACAAGACAGGUUUUGGUUGAGAAAAUGGGUCUACCUGGAGGAAAUAAUGGUCUGUCCUUGGAUCUGUCUGAUACAUUAGGCAACAAAUACAUGCUCUUCGCACCAUGGUAAGUGGUGCUUAAUAAAUACGUACAUCCAAGGAGUCUCACACGAGUGGACUGCAAUGUUGUUUGCGAAAGGCUGCUGCAAAUGGUGGAAGAAUGUUGCCAAAAGGAUUGCUACCCUCGAGUUUGAUCGCACAAGGAAAUCAAUUGGUGUCAUUGUGAAAGCCAGUUCAGGAAGCAAUACCCUACUCGUGAAGAGUGCUUGUAUUCAUGGCAGGGAGCUGUUGAAACUUUACUUGAGCAUCGGAGUGUGUUGUGGGUGCUGCUGUUUGGGGAUCUCUCUUGGCGGCGGCAUGUGCUAUAUGUGCCAUCGCCGGCCUGGAACAUGAGUCCUGCACAGUGGACUGGGCAAGACGAACGAGAUGGGCAAGAGGCAACAAAGGUUUCAUGUGAAUACAUUGGGCUUUGCUUUCAAUAGCUGUAUGCUGACAAGAGGCCUCUUCAGGCGUGGAAUUACAUCUAGCUGCUCGACACGGACAGAUAUGGGUUUCAGGGAGAUGGAACUGAAAGAUAUUUUAUACCUCUUCAGUGAAUGCAAAAAGUAAUUAUCCUGGGAAACUACAUGUGGCAUUUUUACUACUUCGACCUGUACUUCCUCUCUGUUGUAUAUUGUUGAAGAUUUUUACCCUACACAAAGCAAUUAUUGAUUCUUUUCCAUGCACAUAUAUGUACUCUGUCUGAUUGAAACAAAGCAAUUAUUGAUUCUUUUCCAUGCACAUAUAUGUACCUGUACAAAGUAAUUAUUUGUGCUCUGUCUGAUUGAAACAAACCAUGAUACAUACAAGCAACAGAAGUUAUAGAAGACUGUAGCAGGUGAAACUCAUACGGAGAGCAUACCAACUGGUUGUUUAAAAAUAGUGAAUGUUAAUUUACGUCUCGAAGAUAAACAUCUUGUAUAUCCAAAGGGGUGUCAAAUGACAGAAGCUGUAUGUGUUGAUUUCUUUGAGCUGGAAUAGAGGCAUGGAACUACCGACCUGCAUGUAAAAACUUGAUCAUUUUGCAAUACUUUCUCAAUAAUAGUGUAUGCUGUGAGACUUGGAAUCUUA